CCUUUGGGAAAAUAACCCUGUCCCUUGACAGUAAUUUUUUUUCUUUUGUUUAUGUGCUUGGAAUUGAGGCCUAUUCUGCCUUACUGAAAAUACUGUUUGGCAGGGAUCUUGUACCAUGUCCUUUAUUAGCAGUGAAGUAAUAAUGUACUGUAAAUAAUCUCAAGCAAGCUGAAGAGCAGGACAAUGCCAUCCACAUGUGCUGUAGAAUGAAAAAUCCUGAAGCAGGAACUGGGGGACUUCCUAUGGAAGUGACUGUGCAUUCUCAAUAUGCCUCAUGUAUUCUCCACACGGAUUGAGAGGUCAGCAGGAAGUGUGUCCAGGAUGAAAGAGAAGGAAGCUUUGGGCAAUGGAGGAAUCCCCAAGAAAAGCAAUGGAAUUUGCUGCAACAGUCCCUGGCUAAAAGGAGAUGAGCAGAAACAUUAUGCUGGCAGGAAAAUGCUCAAGGAUGUAAUUAGCAACAGUGAUAAAAGAACAGGCAUGGAAACAUGA
rnacentral:lncRNA from 1 species